UACGUAGGGUGCAAGCGUUAAUCGGAAUUACUGGGCGUAAAGCGUGCGCAGGCGGUUUUGUAAGUUUGUCGUGAAAGCCCCGGGCUCAACCUGGGAAUUGCGAUGAAGACUGCAAGGCUUGAAUCUGGCAGAGGGGGGUAGAAUUCCACGUGUAGCAGUGAAGUGCGUAGAGAUGUGGAGGAACACCGAUGGCGAAGGCAGCCCCCCUGGGUCAAGAUUGACGCUCAUGCACGAAAGCGUGGGGGAGCAAACAGG
rnacentral:rRNA from 1 species